rnacentral:rRNA from 1 species
UGCCCUUCCGCUCGGUUGCACGUCGAUCGACUGAUUGUAGCUUGGUCCUAAUGUUAUCGGCGGUCGGGUGAGUACACGUGAGUUCCUGCAUGUGGACUGGGAUAACUCCGGGAUCCGGGGCUAAUACCGGAUGGUUGUUUGAACCGCAUGGUUCAAACAUAAAAGGUGGCUUCGGGUCCGCUUACAGAUGGACCCGCGGCGCAUUAUCUAGUUGGUGAGGUAACGGGUCACCAAGGCGCCGAUGCGUAUCCGACCUGAGCAGGGCAAAACAAAUUG